UGGAAAAGGUCAGGUGUAUGCAAUAUUAUCCCAGAGCAGCUAUUUUCAUAUUUCGAACUCAUGACCUUCACAGCAGCAACCUUACUGUUGUGCCAAGGCUCACCCUUUCAACAUCCAAAACACACACAAAAAAAAGAGAAGUGAAACAUGCAUUUAUUUCUCCUGCUGCAUGUAUUUAAGUCCUCUACAUGGUAUGCAUAAUAAACAAUAUAGUUCAAAAUUCAAAUUUAUUUGUCGCUUUAGAAAAGACUUCACUUACACACAAGGACAAAGUAGCAGUAUGUUAGGUCUCCAACUAAUGGCUUGGAUUGGAUAAUAACAAUGUUCUGCUGUCAGGCAUUGAAAAUUUGAACUUAGGCCUUAUAAGUGUUAUUUUGUUUAAUAGUAGCAGAUGACUAACAAAAUAUGGAGAUCGAGAUGUCCUGAGCAUUGAAGGAUGAGGCAAUCUUUGGCUUGUAGCAUUUAGUAGAGAAGGUCUACAGCAUUAUCGACGAUUCAAAUUAACAUUGGACUAGUGGAGAUUUUGUUGCUCAAGUCACCAAUUCACAUCCUAAUGUUUCUUCCUCCUCUUUCAGCCAAACAUUUUACACAGCUUUCAUC
rnacentral:lncRNA from 1 species